rnacentral:rRNA from 1 species
GAUGAACGCUAGCUACAGGCUUAACACAUGCAAGUCGAGGGGCGGCGGUAUCGAAAGCUUGCUUUCGGUAGCCGGCGACCGACGCACGGGUGAGUAACGGGUAUCGAACCUGCCUCAUACUGGGGAAUAGCCUUACGGAGGUAAGAUUAAUGCCCGGUGUUUUCCGAGUCCCGCAUGGGGCUUUGAACAAAGAUUUAUCGGUAUGAGAUGGCGAUGCGUCCCAUUAGCUUGUUGGCGGGGUAACGGCCCACCAAGGCAUCGAUGGGUAGGGGUUCUGAGAGGAAGGGCCCCCACAUUGGAACUGAGACACGGUCCAAACGCCUACGAGAGGCAGCAGUGAGGAAUAUCAGUCAAUGGGCGGAAGCCUGAACCAGCCAAGUAGCGAGCAGGAAGACGGCCCUCCGGGUUGUAAUCUGCUGUUAGUGGGGAAUAAAACGGUGCUCUUUAGCUCCCUUGCAUGUACCAUCAGAAAAAGGACCGGCUAAGUCCGUG